UACGUAGGGUGCGAGCGUUGUCCGGAAUUAUUGGGCGUAAAGAGCUCGUAGGCGGUGUGUCACGUCGGCCGUGAAAACCUGCAGCUUAACUGUGGGCGUGCGGUCGAUACGGGCAUCACUGGAGUUCGGCAGGGGAGACUGGAAUUCCUGGUGUAGCGGUGAAAUGCGCAGAUAUCGGGAAGAACACCCGUGGCGAAGGCGGCACUCUGGGACGGUACUGACGCUGAGACGCGAAAGCGUGGGGAGCGAACAGG
rnacentral:rRNA from 1 species